GAUUUUUUUAACUUAUUUGAGCUUCUCUUACAUUGCUCCAAGUUCUUUUGCUCCUAAUCGAAGCGCAUAAAUGAAAAUGUAGGAUAAGAAGCAUUUAGAUCUUUUCACAUUGUAGGCCAUUAUGUUAAUUCCUUAGAAAUCCUUCUU